UACGUAGGUGUCGAGCGUUGUCCGGAUUUAUUGGGCGUAAAGAGCCCGCAGGCGGCUUGGCAAGUUUGAGGUGAAAUCUCCCGGCUUAACUGGGAGGGGCCUCGAAAACUGCCAGGCUUGAGGCAUGGAGAGGGAUGCGGAAUUCCCGGUGUAGUGGUGAAAUGCGUAGAUAUCGGGAGAAAACACCUGUGGCGAAAGCGGCUCACUGGACCGCAACUGACGCUGAGGCGCGAAAAGCUAGGGGAGCAAACAGGG
rnacentral:rRNA from 1 species